UAUUAUAUAUAUAACAAAAGAAAGAAUAGAAAUGAGAAAGAAAGAAACAGAGAGCAAAACGAAACAGAGAAGGGAGAAAGAAGAAAAAGAAAGAGCGACGGUUCAGGGGUUUCAAAACUUCUAAAUUCAAUUGGUAAGUCAAUUUAGUCCCUUUUUCUUAUGGUUUUGAUAUUUUUGGAAUCCUAGAGCAAAAUACUACUUGAUUUAAGUGGAAAUUUUGGAAGUUAGUAGAUUAUUAGAUGUUGUUCAUGUUGAAUUAAUUGAUGAAUUAGAGGUUAAAAUGAUUGAAUUUUAAGUUAAAAGUUAGUAAAAGGUUGAUUUGUAAAAUAAAACAUAAGUUUUGAAUUGAUAGGGAUUAAAUUGAAAGAAUCCCGAAAUUAGGGAUUUAUGGGGAAAUUGAAGAAUUAAACUGAGUUUAUAGUAAGAAUUAAGAGAGAAUAUAGAGUUAGAAUGGAAAAAUAAAAUUAGUAUUGAUAAGGGAUUAAAUUAGAAUUUGGGUAAAGUUUAGGUAUACGGGAAAUAUUUUAAUGAAAUUGAGUAUUAAUGAUUUUUAAUUUUUUAAUUACGUAGCUAAUGUCUUGUACGAGUCAUUGUCCGAGAAAGGAAAGGAGAAGGUGGACAAGGAUUGACUCGGGAGAAAUUACGGUUAGUAUUACUAUAAUUCGAAUUUAAUUAUUAAUCGUUGAAAAUUAAAUUAAUAUACACGAUAAGCAAAUUGAGGUGAGUUUCAUAAUUGAAUUGAAUAAUAUAUAUACGUAUUGAUAUUGAAUUUAUUAACAGUAAUUAUUGAAUUUUGAAUAAUAUGUUAGUAAAUAAAAAUAAGGAGAAUAUCAAUAUUUAAUUGAAUGAAUUAAAAUAUGAAUUGAAUAAAGGAGAUAUUAAAUUGAGAUAUGUGAAUAUGUGAAUUGUAUAUUGAUUUGAAAGUGGGAAGUGAAUCUGAGUUGAAUUGCGAUUAAAUCGAAAGUGAAUUUGAAAUAGAAAAAUGUAUUGAAACAAAUGGUGAUUAAAUGGGAAUGAUUUGAAUUGAAAGUAUGAGAAAGUGAUUGAAUUGAAAUGUGAUUCGGAAACCCUAUUAACUAGUCGGGCUGAGUCGGAUAUAGUUGGCAUGCCAUAGGAUUGGAAGAGUUCAGGGAUACUUCGACCUUGAGUCGAUGAGACACUGGGUGUCAUACUAUUACUUCGGAUAGAUUCGAUGAGGUACUGGGUACCAACUUACUUCGGCUUGGCCGAUGAGACACUGGGUGUCAAUUAUUGCUUCGAACUAUCCGAUGAGGCACUGGGUGCCAUUCUGGUGUGUUUGGUUGGAUCCGUGUAUCCGCCAAGGUCCGAGUCUUGUUAAUAGGGGUAAAUAAUUGAAAUGAGAAAAUUGAAUAAAUGCGAUUGAUUGAGCUAUGGGAAGAAACGAAAAAGUGAAGUUGUGAAUUGAUGUGUGAAUUGGAAAUCGAAAUAAGAGAUUUAAAGAUAUGAGCCCAAAGUUCAUGAUGUGAUAAAGAGUAAAUUUUGUUAUAUGAUAUUAGUGAGUACAAAUUGCAAUAAAAUUUAUGUUGAAUAUAAAUUAAAUGAAAUGAAUUGUAUAUGAAUUGAAAUGAACUAUUGGAAUGAGAUGUAAAGAAAAAUCCCAUGGAAUUGAGAUAGUGAAAUAAGGUAUGAAUACAAUUAAAUACAAGAUUUGAAUUAUAGCUUAUUGUUAUUAAUUAUCAAGUUGAUUUAAUGCAUGAGAUAAUUAAUGAAUAAUUGUAGACAUUUAUAAAAUGUAUAUAAUUUAUCGAUUAAUGUUAUUAAUUCGAAUUAUGGUAAUACCACUGAGUAUUUCCAUACUCAGCGUACGGUUGUUUCCGUGCGCAGGUUAGGUCAAAGUCGGAUUGUUGAAUCAGCAUCCAAAGCCGAUUCUGAGCUAAUUGUGGUGGUGAACAUUUCUUUU
rnacentral:lncRNA from 1 species